rnacentral:misc_RNA from 1 species
AUCAUUCUAUUAUUAACAACUAAAUUUUAUCGGUUCAAUAAUCAUAACUUUCAAUAAUCUGCACAAUUUUUUUUUUCAUACAUUUCCCAGAUCUCCAGACCAAAAAGGUUUGGUUUAGAACAGCCUGAAUUGGCAGACAAUUCAAUGACAGAAAAUUAAGAGGAUGAUAAAACAAGAGUUUAAUACAUACCACACCAGCUACACAACAACUAAAAUACAUCUCAUCACACGCUUACCAUAACUAUUACGAACAAUACCUAAUAUCACAACAGUCACUAGCACCAUCACCAGAAAGAAAAAAAAAAAAAUUGGAGCAAUAUGGUAGCGUCAAUAAUCCUAUCACAACCAAAAGGAAAAGCUCACUUCACCACUUCAACCACUGUAGUCUGUUCAUGGUUGUUUCAUUGCAGCAUACUAUUUUCUACGGCUUAAAUCCCUGGAUAUCCGUCGUAAAAUCGGCAUGGAAUUUCUGCCAACUUCCAUUGGAUGAAGACAUGCGCAUAAAAUACAAUAUUACAGACAUUUCCCUACUUCAAUCACCUGCCAUGUGAAAAGAACACCAAAUCCGAGCUACUAAAAGAGAAUAAAUCAUACACUCUCAAUCAAACUGGUGUUUGAAGAUGGUCACUUCCAACAUAGUAUGACAACAACAAAGGGCAGUCUAAUCUUCGUGACUAUGCCUAUUCUUCAAACUAUCUCCAACCACAAUACAACCCAAGUCCACAACAAACAGAAGUCCAAAAUAAUCCAGCACACUCACCAAACUUUAUUAUUUUUUAACCUAGUAUCUUCGUGAUAACCUUCAUCAAUCAGAAUCACUGUGGGCUUAAUCUCCAAACGCGAACACAAGCAUCCUCACCAGAGCUUACCAAACUUAGCUCAUCAGUGAAAGCCAAUCCAUAUACCCCACCCAAAUGAGCUCCCUUUAUGGUCAUCCGACUAGAUGCAGGCUUGGCAAUUGAUCCAGUAGCAACCACACUGCUAUCAGGACACCAAGCAAGGCAAUUUAUGCGGGCAGUAUGGUAUAACAUGUUCUUAAGUUGUGAAAAAUAUAACUAAUAAGAUUAUGAGGUAACAAACUAGAAUACUUAAAAAAGUAAAUAAGAGGACAUCUACUGUUGUUGCCAUUCUUAAAUAAAGCAAGGUACACAUUCUUAAAUAAAACAAUAAACUGAUGACCAGGCAUAAGGGGGAUCUGACAUUAUACAAUCAUAGGAGUAUUUCAAAUCAAGGAUCAAUGCUUGGUUCAAUGUAAUAUACCAGUCGGGCUUUGCCUGGUAGAAUAAAUCAAACCCUUGUGUAACAAACUCAUCUAUCUCCUCACAGAACAAGGACACAGUACACGACAAGACUAGAAUUAGGUAAUAGCAAACUUGAUGUUUAAGUGUAGGAAUAAUAGCACCAAUGCAUACAUUAUGGAUACGCUAGUGUCUAAUAGUUAUGAUAUGGUUUGUCUACACUAGUGUCUAAUAGUUAAUCUAUGGUUCACCUAGGAGUAUCUGGUUGCAUCCGUAUUAAACAAACAAAAUGUCAACCAAAAAUAAGAGAAUGUUUAUAAAAUGAUGAAAUGAUAUUCAGGACUUGAAUAUCCUUUGCACUUGUCAGAGUGUAGAGACUUUGAGACUAACAGUUUACAUCAAAAUUCUUUAGGUGGCUUGGUGGCCAGGAGGCUAUUGUGGACUUCUUCUGAAACAGGGUUCAAGCAUCUAACAGGCAACUUGCACUUUCAACAUUUCCGAAAGCAGGUCAAAUUCAUUUUAAUCUGGAAGGCCAGGUUGCAGUUGGAUUAGUGGAUCAGCUAAUUUUAAUCAGGCUUUGACCACUCACAGGUGUUUGAGCAGUCAACUAGAUCAGUUAACAAAGCAACUCCUUGUUAACCAGGUCCAACUAAUCAGGUUUUAAAUACUUGACUGUACCUAUUCUCACUGUUCUAAGGGCAUGUUUACUUCAUGUUGAAAAUGGUAUGAGCAGUCAACUGGAUAAUCUAAUUUUAGUUAUACUUCUAACAGACUUAUCAUGUGACUAGGCUUAACUACAUGACUAAGCUUAUCAUGUGUACAUACACCAUCACUAAUAGAAAUGGAUCUCAUUGCAUGAAGCCCACUCUUUUGUGAGAGCUACCUAUAUACACCCAGUGUAGGUAAGUUUCUUACCUCCAGGCAAAGUGCUAGAAAAUUUUAAGGCCUUCUCAUAACUUACUAGAUCAGCAAAGUUGUGAGCCAAGUUGGUGAGGCAAUCAGUCGUAUCACUCUUAAAAUAAAUAUAAUGUUAUUUCACACACGCACACACAACAGACAUAGGUUUGCACAUUUGUCACUUCUGCUAAACUAAUCAAAUGCCAUAAAUAAACAGUUUUACGGAAACAAAAUUGUCAAAUUAAAUUAGGAGAACAAGGUACCUCUCGGGAGACUCGGUCCCAAACAAUAGCUUCUCUAUUUGCAUCACCAGAUGCAAACAUUGAAACAUCUGGAGAGUAACGUACGACACUGACAGCCCCAUGAUGUUUCUCAAGUACUGCUUCUUCCUUAAGAGUGUCACCUGUUAUAGAAUAUACAUGCAAUUUGCCAUCCUGCCCGCCUAUGAUUGCUUCACUUCCAUCAGGUGAGAUUGCAGAUGCUGUCACUGCAUAACCAAGAUUGAUGGUUGACAUUACUUUUGUACUACGGAGUAUGACAACACCUGAAUCAAUUGUGAUCAAAGCAAGUUCGGGACAGAGAAGGGCAAGACUCAAGUCUUUUGGCUGACAGCCAAUGUCAAUGGAAUUGGCAUCUCCACAUUGAUCCCCUUGAAAAUGCACUCUCCAAAUCUUAUUAUCAAAUCCAGAUGUAACAAUUUCUUCUUCAACAGCAGCUAAACAUUUGAUUUGAGAACUCUCUUUCCUCUGUAAUUUACAGUUGUAUCCAAUGCCUUGAAUCCAUUUAACUAUCAAACCAUCAUAACUGCUGGAUAAUAUAGUUUUUGGGACAUUUUUAAGCACAGCUAACGAUGUAACAUUCUUCAUAUGUCCAGAUAUUUGUCGUGGACUUUUGUCAAGAUCGCUUGCAGAAAAGAUGCUAAUUGUGCCACCAAGAGACACGGUGACAAGAUAAUCAUUCUGCCAAAGGCAACCAACUAGCAUGUCAUCCACUCCGCCAGAGCCGGAACAUGUCAAUGUUUUCUUCAAUUUUCCAUUACCAUCAUCACAGAUCUCCCACACUUUGGCUGACUUGUCGGCAGAAACAGUCAGAACCUGUUUACCAUCAGGACUCCAGCUAACAGCAUAAAUGCUUCCCUUGUGACUAUCUUCAGAAGACAACUCUCCAAUCUUCUCUCCAGUCUUCCCAUCAAACAAUAUGCCCUUCUUAUCGGAGCUUACACUAAUAAAUUUACUGCCAUCUGGAGAAAAUCUUAUGCAAUUGACAAAAUUUGAAUGAUCCCUGCAAGAUAGCUUGAAUCUAAAUGGAGGCCCUUCAUAGAAAUUCACCAAAAAAUCCUCCCCACAAGUCACUAUCCGAAAUGGUCUUGUUGGCUUAAAUGCACAGCUAAGAACUCGCCUCGAAUGGCCAUCAAAUUCCCCUACAUUAGUGCCUGAAUCCCACAUAAAAGCACGCACUAGCGAUUUGCCCUUGCCAUCUCCACACGCGACGAUCCUCAACCCAUCAGGAGACCACUGAAGAUCAUCGAUCCGGCCAGACAAAACUUUAAAUUCCUUCUUCAAGACGUGAUCAUUGUAAGCCCCCCAGAUCCUGACGGUACCGGAGACAUCAGCAGAGGCGAUCCACUCGCCGUUGGGGGAGUAACGAGCGACGGUAGCCUGAUAACCAUGGUCGCCGUAGACGGAGACAUCGAGAGGGUUAUCUAGGUUGAGUAUGAGGACUGAUCGAUUGUUGGUGAAGAGGAUGGAAUUGGAUUUCGGACCGCCGGAGAUUAGGAUUCCUCGGCCGCGCUCGGUGGUGGGAACGCACGCGUAGGUUUCAGAGAGGAGUGGC